rnacentral:rRNA from 1 species
UGGGGAAUUUUGGACAAUGGGCGAAAGCCUGAUCCAGCAAUGCCGCGUGUGUGAAGAAGGCCUUCGGGUUGUAACGCACUUUUGUCCGGAAAGAAAUGGCUCUGGUUAAUACCUGGGGUCGAUGACGGUACCGGAAGAAUAAGGACCGGCUAACUACGUGCCAGCAGCCGCGGUAAUACGUAGGGUCCAAGCGUUAAUCGGAAUUACUGGGCGUAAAGCGUGCGCAGGCGGUUGUGCAAGACCGAUGUGAAAUCCCCGAGCUUAACUUGGGAAUUGCAUUGGUGACUGCACGGCUAGAGUGUGUCAGAGGGGGGUAGAAUUCCACGUGUAGCAGUGAAAUGCGUAGAGAUGUGGAGGAAUACCGAUGGCGAAGGCAGCCCCCUGGGAUAACACUGACGCUCAUGCACGAAAGCGUGGGGAGCAAACAGG